AGAAGCGGAAAGAAAGGACCAGGGAAAGCGUGGGACCUUGAAAUACUUUUGGUCUUCCGCGAAGGCAGGAAGGGAGAUCAGAGAACGAGGGAGAAGGAAGGAGAGAAGGACGGGGAAAGACGAAUUUCUAUUAUAGAAUUGUUGUCUUGCCAUUGAAGGACGAUUUAGAUACGGUAAAGACGCCAAGAACGAUGACAAACUCACUGAAAAUGAAAAAGAUUGCGACUUCGACACCACAAG